rnacentral:rRNA from 1 species
GAUGAACGCUGGCGGCGUGCCUAAUACAUGCAAGUCGAGCGAACGGACGAGAAGCUUGCUUCUCUGAUGUUAGCGGCGGACGGGUGAGUAACACGUGGAUAACCUACCUAUAAGACUGGGAUAACUUCGGGAAACCGGAGCUAAUACCGGAUGAUAUUUUGAACCGCAUGGUUCAAAAGUGAAAGACGGUCUUGCUGUCACUUAUAGAUGGAUCCGGGCUGCAUUAGCCAGUUGGUAAGGUAACGGCUUACCAAGGCAACGAUGCAUAGCCGACCUGAGAGGGUGAUCGGCCACCCUGGAACUGAGACACGGUCCAGACUCCUACGGGAGGCAGCAGUAGGGAAUCUUCCGCAAUGGGCGAAAGCCUGACGGAGCAACGCCGCGUGAGUGAUGAAGGUCUUCGGAUCGUAAAACUCUGUUAUUAGGGAAGAACAUAUGUGUAAGUAACUGUGCACAUCUUGACGGUACCUAAUCAGAAAGCCACGGCUAACUACGUG